ensembl:lncRNA
GAGGAAUUAAUCCGUCUGGACCAUAAAAGUCUGGACAGCUCUUCACACGGUAAAGUUAAUAACACUGUAUCAUUUAUUAGUCAAAGACAGACGUAGUCGCGUUAGUCGCACAAUUUUGACUAAACUGAGGUUUUUAUCUGCCAGUAUAACAUCGAGCAGGAAUUAGUCAAUGUCAGUCAAAGUUAGCUAACGUUACCACUCGCUACAUGGAUAGUCAAUGGUAAUGCUAAUGUUGCUACUCGCUAGCGUUAGCUAACGUUAUGCUAAAGAUAGUCCUGUUCGAGGCAUUAUUUUCGUCGAGCAGAUAUUUUUAAAUGACUAGCAAAAAUGAGCAAUGCAAAGGUUAGCUAAUGUUUCUACUCGCGUUAUGCUAGUGAGGGCAACUUGCUCAUGUUUUCUAAAUCAAGCUGAGUAAAAGGUAAUGUUAAACUGCUCGGUUAUAACAGCAUGGGAGUUUUUCGCGCGUCAUUGACUUAGGCCCUGUCCACACGAACACGGGUAUUUUUAUAACAGUGACUUUUUUUACGCGGUUCGGCCUUCAGUCCACACGAAAAGGCAGUUUCAGGGCACAGAAACCGAACAUUUUUGAAAACUCCGGCCAGGGUGAGCAUUUUCAGAAACGACGGUUGCAGUGUUGUGUGGACAGUAUAACCGUUUUUUGCCUUGCGACGUCAGAGUGUACGCCUUUAUCCGCUGUGUUUGAUGUCAGAAUGUGCGCCGCUAACUGCUUUGUUGACAAUUCUGUGCAAUGGCGGAUGUAGCCCAAAUCGUGCUUAUAAUAAGCUGUGCCGCUAACAGGGCUUCUAACAUGUAUACUAAUACAUGAUCAGUUAUAUCACUAUGCUGCCAUGUUGUUUUGCCUAAUGUAUGCCUUGAACCUCAACUACCCUCCUGAACUUAAGUACUCGUUCGAAGUGCUCCAGAAGGUUGUGAUGGAGCUGGACGGCAAGACACUGUCAAAGAAAGCCCCGGCUCUCAAAAACAGACUCCAUCAGUGAACUGUUGCCAUUUGAUGGCAAAAUGGAUACAACCGUUUCACCAUCUUGUUUUGGAAUAUGGACCAUUGCUGCUUUUUCAGUAGGAUUAUUGGAACCAGUCACCUGCAUGUUCUGUGAUGGGCCGCUACCAAGUGUAGUGUAUUUUUUUUUCUUUUUUUUUCUCAGGGUCAUGUGCCUUUUUCAUUUAAGUGUCAGCAUUUGUCAGAUGUGUUUAAUAGACCUCCAACCGUUUACCCUAUUUUCAAAUUUGGAGGUGAUUUUUGGAUUUUGCACAUUCUUAACUGACUUAUAGUAGUGGUGGGAAAGCAAGCCAUAACUCUUAAUUGUAUUACUUUAUUUUCAAAACCAAAUGUACUUUUCAAGCACAAGAUCUACAUUUGCCAGGACAAUAAUGGUUCUUACAUGUGUCCUUUUGUUAAGAAAUUGUAAAUGUAAUGUUUUUUGCACAUAUUUUGCACGACAUUCCUGCAUUAGCCUGGCUGUAUAGUAUUCUCUUGAUGCUGGUUUGAUGUAACUCAGAAGGUGUUUUAAGGACCAAAAUAAUGUUGCCUCAGGUUGUAGCAGUCAUGAAUGUUUGGUACACACUCUUGAUAACUUGCAUACCAAGUGUUUCUUGUGAAAGAAAAAGGUGCUUUGUUCUAAUAUGAGAUUUGUUUGUGAAUGUGUGCAUGUGUUUGUGUAUACAUUAAUCUUCUAUUGUUCUAUGACAAUACAGUUGUAAACUAAACGUUUUUGUUUUGCCUUAUUUAUUUUAAAAAUGUUAAAGGAGUAAAUUCUGUAGGUAAGAGAUUAGUAGAAAUCGCCAUACAGAAAUAAUUUUAGCAUGUAGAAUUUAUACAGAAAAGUAUGCAGGAUCAUUAUCAGACUAACUUGAGCAGGAAGCAGGAAGUUAAUUUAACAGAACAACAUUGCAUAUACUUUACAUAAAAAUCUCAUGUUGCUUCAAUAGGUGAGAAUUGAAUACACUUAACAUAAAAGGGACAUUUUAAAGUCACAUUAAAAUCUCAUGUUGCUUCAAUAGAGUAAUUUAAUACAAUUAACAUUAAUAAAGUAUUUUGAAUUUACAUGAGAAAAUCAUGUUUGUUUUACAAAUAAAAAUUAAGUAUAUUAAAUAGAAAUGAAUCAUUUUGACUAAACAUGAAUAUAAUAUGUGCAACCGAUGUACAUAUUUUUUUCAUGUAAAUUCAAAAGACUUUUUUUUUCAGUGUAGUGGG